rnacentral:rRNA from 1 species
AGAGUUUGAUCCUGGCUCAGGAUGAACGCUAGCUACAGGCUUAACACAUGCAAGUCGAGGGGCAGCAUGAACUUAGCUUGCUAAGUUUGAUGGCGACCGGCGCACGGGUGAGUAACACGUAUCCAACCUGCCGAUGACUCGGGGAUAGCCUUUCGAAAGAAAGAUUAAUACCCGAUGGCAUAGUUCUUCCGCAUGGUAGAACUAUUAAAGAACUUCGGUCAUCGAUGGGGAUGCGUUCCAUUAGGUUGUUGGCGGGGUAACGGCCCACCAAGCCUUCGAUGGAUAGGGGUUCUGAGAGGAAGGCCCCCCACAUUGGAACUGAGACACGGUCCAAACUCCUACGGGAGGCAGCAGUGAGGAAUAUUGGUCAACCCACUAGAGUCUGAACCAGCCAAGUAACGUGAAGGAUGACUGCCCUAUGGGUUGUAA